rnacentral:misc_RNA from 1 species
AGCAGCCGCGGUAAUUCCAGCUCCAAUAGCGUAUAUUAAAGUUGAUGCAGUUAAAAAGCUCGUAGUUGAAUUUCGGGGUCAGUAGGUUGGUCGUGCCACUGGUAUGCACUGGUCUCACUGAUUCCUCCUUCCUGAUGAACCGUAAUGCCAUUAAUUUGGUGUUGCGGGGAAUCUGGACUGUUACUUUGAAAAAUUAGAGUGUUUAAAGCAGGCUCGCGCUUGAAUACAUUAGCAUGGAAUAAUGAAAUAGGACGUUUGACCCUAUUUUGUUGGUUUCUAGGAUCGACGUAAUGAUUAAUAGGGAUAGUUGGGGGCAUUAGUAUUCAAUUGUCAGAGGUGAAAUUCUUGGAUUUAUUGAAGACUAACUACUGCGAAAGCAUUUGCCAAGGAUGUUUUCAUUAAUCAAGAACGAAAGUUAGGGGAUCGAAGACGAUCAGAUACCGUCGUAGUCUUAACCAUAAACUAUNCCGACUAGGG